rnacentral:rRNA from 1 species
AGAGUUUGAUCCUGGCUCAGGAUGAACGCUAGCGGGAGGCUUAACACAUGCAAGUCGAGGGGCACCCCGAGCAAUCGGGGGAGACCGGCAGACGGGURCGUAACGCGUAUGCAACCUGCCUUGUGCAGGGGGAUAGCCCAUGGAAACGUGGAUUAAUACCCCAUAUACUAUAUGGUGCCGCAUGGCAUUAAUAGGAAAGCUACGGCGGCACAAGAUGGGCAUGCGUCUGAUUAGCUAGAUGGCGGGGCAACGGCCCACCAUGGCGACGAUCAGUAGGGGUCCUGAGAGGGUUACCCCCCACACUGGCACUGAGACACGGGCCAGACYCCUACGGGAGGCAGCAGUGAGGAAUAUUGGGCAAUGGGCGGAAGCCUGACCCAGCCAUCCCGCGUGCAGGACGAAGGCCCUAUGGGUCGUAAACUGCUUUUCCUGGGGGAGAAACACCCCGAUGUAUCGGGGCUUGACGGUACCCAGGGAAUAAGCAUCGGCUAACUCCGUGCCAGCAGCCGCGGUAAUACGGAGGAUGCAAGCGUUAUCCGGAUUUAUUGGGUUUAAAGGGUGCGCAGGCGGGCCAAUAAGUCAGUGGUGAAAUCCUGCCGCUUARCGGUAGGACUGCCAUUGAUACUGUUGGCCUUGAGUAUGGUUGAGGUAGGCGGAAUGUGCGGUGUAGCGGUGAAAUGCAUAGAUAUCGCACAGAACGCCGRUUGCGGAGGCAGCUUACUAAGCCAUUACUGACGCUGAGGCACGAAAGCGUGGGUAGCGAACAGGAUUAGAUACCCUGGUAGUCC